rnacentral:rRNA from 1 species
UACGUAGGGGGCAAGCGUUGUCCGGAAUUAUUGGGCGUAAAGAGCUCGUAGGCGGUCUGUUGCGUCGGCUGUGAAAACCCGGGGCUCAACCCCGGGCCUGCAGCCGAUACGGGCAGACUAGAGUUCGGCAGGGGAGACUGGAAUUCCUGGUGUAGCGGUGAAAUGCGCAGAUAUCAGGAGGAACACCGGUGGCGAAGGCGGGUCUCUGGGCCGAUACUGACGCUGAGGAGCGAAAGCGUGGGGAGCGAACAGGA